rnacentral:rRNA from 1 species
UACGUAGGAGGCAAGCGUUGUCCGGAAUUACUGGGUGUAAAGCGCGUGUAGGUGGUGGGCUAAGUCUGUGGUGAAAUCGCCCGGCUCAACUGGGCGAGGUCCGUGGAAACUGGUCGACUGGAGGACGGUAGAGGCGAGUGGAAUUCCCGGUGUAGUGGUGAAAUGCGUAGAGAUCGGGAAGAACACCAGUGGCGAAGGCGGUCUGCUGGGCCGUUGCUGACGCUGAGGCGCGACAGCGUGGGGAGCAAACAGG